rnacentral:lncRNA from 1 species
GCAGGAGAGAGGUGUGGCCAGACAGGAAGACGGGAGCCCUGUGCCUCUCAGAGUCCAGCCGUUGCACUGAGGGGCCUCAGAGGGGCCUGGAAAGUCUCCAGACUUCAGCCUCUAAAGAAAUAAGGGACUUCCUCGCCGAGGGGUCUUCACAAAAGAGUGAUCCACGGUGGUUAGAUGCCUGAAAUGUCCUGUAAGGUGGGUGCCUGGGACUUACUGCUGUCUGACGUCUGUUGUGUUCACCUCGUGCCUCCUGAAGUGUGGAAGGAUCCAGAGCCCUCGCAGAAACUUCUGGCAGCUGAGCUAGAAGUUUCUCUCGAACUGCAACACGGCCCACAGGGCCCCUUCACUACUGCCGGCCGGGCUGGGCUGGAGUGCCUUGCCCAGGAGAGGCUGCCCAGUGUGCCUGGGCCCCAACCCCCACAGACCAGGGAGGAUUCAGCAUGUGCUCUGAGACGGGCUCCAGGUGCACGGGCAUGCUGCUCUUGGCCUUAGCCACCGCAGCCAUCAUUGCCAACCUCCUGCUGUACUUUCCCAAUGGCCAGGUGCUGGAGCCGGCCAAGAUCACAGACUUGGUGUGGUUUUUCCACGGCUUUCUUGGAGCUGGACUCUUGAACAUACAGGAACAUCAGCACCCAACUUCUCUUAAGAUGUGCAUGAGUAAAUACAGCAGCUAUUGAAAGGAAUCAAGCAGCUUGAGGAAAUUUAGUUUCCUAAUAGCAGGCUCUCAGACAUUUAUUGAAAGAGAGUGACCCAGAGGGAAAACAUUCCACGGUCUGAGGAGAGCAGAGUGGAGCCUGGCUCAGGCAGGGACCAGACACCCUGUCUCCAGAGCAUCCCUUGUUACCAGCCGGCUCAUCCAAC